CACAAGCUGGGGCUAGGCCAGCAUACUGGGAUUCCAGGAAAUUCUAAAUGCACCUCAGAGAGCUCAUUGGCCUGGCCCCUUUUUUGAGACAAGAGGCUCAAGGUCACCGGUCUUGUCCUGAAAUGGAGACUUGGAGGAAGGCACAGAGAUAGCACCCCAGGUCACACAGUUGGCCUGAAGCAAAGCCACCUUGGGAAGGCAUGACCCCCUGGUCCCAGUUUUCUGUCCACAGACCAGUUUUAAGAUAAGGAGAAAUUAGAGCUCCAUGGGCUAGGCUCCAUGAUUCCUCCUUGGAAUUCCUGGACAGCAUGGCUGAGAUGUAGUCUUAAGAAUGCCUUCCUUCAGCACCUGGGGACCUUCUCUCCUUGGAGAAAUCAUUUUCCCCUGAGACCUUCUCCGCCUGGAACAUCCCUCUGCCAUGGAGACUCCUUCUUGGACUUAGCUGGACCAGAGUCGAAGGCUCAGGAAAUGAAGUCAUCAUCAGAACGGAGGCCUAACAAUCGGAGACUAGUAAUAACAGUAAUAAUCACAAUCACAAUAAGGAUGACAAUAAUAAUAUAAUAAA